CCUACGGGUGGCAGCAGUGAGGAAUAUUGGUCAAUGGGCGAGAGCCUGAACCAGCCACGUCGCGUGAGGGAGUACUGCCCUAUGGGUUGUAAACCUCUUUUGUCGGGGAGCAAAAGCCGGACGUGUCCGGCUGUGAGAGUACCCGAAGAAAUAGCAUCGGCUAACUCCGUGCCAGCAGCCGCGGUAAUACGGAGGAUGAGAGCGUUUUCCGGAUUUAUUGGGUUUAAGGGGUGCGCAGGCGGAUUUUUAAGUCAGCGGUAAAAUCGUGGGGCUCAAACCCAUCCAGCCGUUGAAACUGGGGAUCUAGAGUGUGCGAGAGGUAAGCGGAAUGCGAGGUGUAGCGGUGAAAUGCAUAGAUAUCACGCAGAACCCCGAUGGCGAAGGCAGCAUACCGGUGCACAACUGACGCUCAGGCACGAAAGCGUGGGUAGCGAACAGGAUUAGAUACCCGGGUAGUC
rnacentral:rRNA from 1 species